rnacentral:tRNA from 1 species
GGCGUGCUAGGCCCCGCGGUAGAGCGCUCGGGUCAAAACCGAGAAUAUGCCGGUUCGAAUCCGGCCCGCCCCG